CCUACGGGGGGCAGCAGUGAGGAAUAUUGGUCAAUGGGCUUACGCCUGAACCAGCCAAGUCGCGUGAGGGAAGACUGCCCUAUGGGUUGUAAACCUCUUUUGUCAGGGAGCAACGCCGGCUACGUGUAGCCGGACUGAGAGUACCUGAAGAAAAAGCAUCGGCUAACUCCGUGCCAGCAGCCGCGGUAAUACGGAGGAUCCAAGCGUUAUCCGGAUUUAUUGGGUUUAAAGGGUGCGGAGGCGGCUUGAUAAGUUAGAGGUGAAAUACCGGUGCUCAACACCGGAACCGCCUCUAAUACUUUUGA
rnacentral:rRNA from 1 species